rnacentral:rRNA from 1 species
UAGGGAAUCUUCGGCAAUGGGGGCAACCCUGACCGAGCAACGCCGCGUGAGUGAAGAAGGUUUUCGGAUCGUAAAGCUCUGUUGUAAGUCAAGAACGGGUGUGAGAGUGGAAAGUUCACACUGUGACGGUAGCUUACCAGAAAGGGACGGCUAACUACGUGCCAGCAGCCGCGGUAAUACGUAGGUCCCGAGCGUUGUCCGGAUUUAUUGGGCGUAAAGCGAGCGCAGGCGGUUUGAUAAGUCUG